GUGUCAGCAGCCGCGGUAAGACGAAGGGGGCAAGCGUUGUUCGGAAUUACUGGGCGUAAAGCGCGUGUAGGUGGUUGUACGAGUCAGGCGUGAAAGCCUCGAGCUCAACUCGAGAAAUGCGCUUGAUACUGUGCAGCUAGAGGACCGGAGAGGAUAGUGGAAUUCCCAGUGUAGUGGUGAAAUACGUAGAGAUUGGGAAGAACACCAGUGGCGAAGGCGGCUAUCUGGACGGUUUCUGACACUAAGACGCGAAAGCGUGGGGAGCAAACAGGAUUAGAAACCCGCGUAGUCC
rnacentral:rRNA from 1 species